rnacentral:rRNA from 1 species
AAGCGAAUAGUGAAUCUGGUGGCUCAACCAUCAACCCAUUGUUCGAACUGCUUGUCUCGAGAAUGGUAGAGGUAACUGGAAUUUCUUGUGUAGGAGUGAAAUCCGUAGAUAUAAGAAGGAACACCAAUGGCGUAGGCAGGUUACUGGACCAUUUCUGACACUGAGGCACGAAAGCGUGGGGAGCGAACCGGAUUAGAUACCCGGGUAGUCCACGCCGUAAACUAUGGAUACUA